CCCGCUCAGAAACUCAAAUGAAUUGACGGGGGCCCGCACAAGCGGUGGAGCAUGUGGUUUAAUUCGAAGCAACGCGAAGAACCUUACCUGGGUUUGAACUGCAGUGGAAGACGCCAGAGAUGGCGUCCGCCCCUUCGGGGGCCGCUGUGGAGGUGCUGCAUGGCUGUCGUCAGCUCGUGUCAUGAGAUGUUGGGUUAAGUCCCGCAACGAGCGCAACCCUUGCUCAUAGUUGCCAGCGGUUCGGCCGGGCACUCUAUGGGGACUGCCGGUGAUAAACCGGAGGAAGGUGGGGAUGACGUCAAGUCCUCAUGGCCUUUAUGUCCAGGGCUACACACGUGCUACAAUGGACGGUACAAAGAGUUGCGAUCCCGCGAGGGGGAGCUAAUCUCAAAAAGCCGUUCUCAGUUCGGAUUACAGUCUGCAACUCGACUGUAUGAAGCUGGAAUCGCUAGUAAUCGCGGAUCAGCAUGCCGCGGUGAAUACGUUCCGGGCCUU
rnacentral:rRNA from 1 species